rnacentral:rRNA from 1 species
AUGGUCCUACGGGGGGCAGCAGUGAGGAAUAUUGGUCAAUGGGCGCGAGCCUGAACCAGCCAAGUCGCGUGAGGGAAGACGGUCCUAUGGAUUGUAAACCUCUUUUGUCGGAGAACAAAACCCGGGACGUGUCCCGGACUGCGUGUAUCCGAAGAAAAAGCAUCGGCUAACUCCGUGCCAGCAGCCGCGGUAAUACGGAGGAUGCGAGCGUUAUCCGGAUUUAUUGGGUUUAAAGGGUGCGCAGGCGGAGGUGCAAGUCAGUGGUCAAAUUGCGGGGCUCAACCCCGUACUGCCGUUGAAACUGC